rnacentral:rRNA from 1 species
AUUGAACGCUGGCGGAAUGCUUUACACAUGCAAGUCGAGCGGCAGCACGGGGGCAACCCUGGUGGCGAGCGGCGAACGGGUGAGUAAUACAUCGGAACAUGCCCAGUCGUGGGGGAUAACACUUCGAAAGAAGUGCUAAUACCGCAUACGUCCUGAGGGAGAAAGCGGGGGAUCUUCGGACCUCGCGCGAUUGGAGUGGCCGAUGUCAGAUUAGCUAGUUGGUGGGGUAAAGGCCUACCAAGGCAACGAUCUGUAGCUGGUCUGAGAGGAUGAUCAGCCACACUGGGACUGAGAACCGGCCCAGACUCCUACGGGAGGCAGCAGUGGGGAAUUUUGGGCAAUGGGGGCAACCCUGAUCCAGCCAUUCCGCGUGAGUGAAGAAGGCCUUCGGGUUGUAAAGCUCUUUCGGCAGGAACGAAACGGUGAGCUCUAACAUAGCUUGCUAAUGACGGUACCUGAAGAAGAAGCACCGGCUAACUACGUGCCAGCAGCCGCCGUAAAAC